rnacentral:rRNA from 1 species
AGCAGCCGCGGUAAUUCCAGCUCCAAUAGCGUAUAUUAAAGUUGUUGCAGUUAAAAAGCUCGUAGUUGAAUUUCGGGAUCAAAGGAUCGGUCAUGCCUUGGUAUGUACUGGUUUUAUUGGUUCUCACCUUCUAAAGAACCAUAAUGUCAUUCAUUUGAUGUUAUGGGGAAUUAGGACUGUUACCUUGAAAAAAUUAGAGUGUUUAAAGCAGGCUCGCGCUUGAAUACAUUAGCAUGGAAUAAUGAAAUAGGACGUUUGAUUCUAUUUUGUUGGUUUCUAGGAUUGACGUAAUGAUUAAUAGGGAUAGUUGGGGGCAUUAGUAUUCAAUUGUCAGAGGUGAAAUUCUUGGAUUUAUUGAAGACUAACUACUGCGAAAGCAUUUGCCAAGGAUGUUUUCAUUAAUCAAGAACGAAAGUUAGGGGAUCGAAGACGAUCAGAUACCGUCGUAGUCUUAACCAUAAACUAUAGCCGACUAGGGAUCGGAUGAUGUAAUUUUUUAAUGACUCAUUCG